CCCAACAGUGUAGAAAGGCCGGAGCAGCUGGGCAGCUGAAUACAGCAUGGGAACCGCCAGAGAGCUGUGUGCAGAGCAGGCUGCAGCAUGAGACAGGGAACUGCAUGUGGAACAGGAGGUUCUAGCAGUGAAGUGAGACAUUUCAAUGGAAACAAGUGAAUCUACUGGAGGGUAAAAUCUUUCCUCCCAAGUACAGAAAUAUGGAGACCUUUUUCAAAACAGCCCUAAAAGGGGAGACCUGGACACGACUCACCUUUUCAGGAACCACUGUUGCUGCUUAUAACAUAAAAGACUUGGAGAGACAAAUAGACGGCUUCACCAUCUUGGCACUCCACCAGCUCCCAGACUUCUUCAUGCUAAUCCUGAAAGAUGUACUGACCAGAUCAGGACCCACAGGUACCAGAUGACGUUGCCAUGUCCACUGGCUUUGGCUAAAUCCUGAACACUACCUGCCAUGUGAGACUUUGUCUCUUUCAGUCCCCAGUGUGUCCUUUUCCUUCCCUACCGUAUUUCUUCUUUCUUCUCUCUCUCCCCUUUUUGUUAUGUCUAAUAAGAGUUUGCCAAGAUGCAUAUUUUUGAACAUUGCUGUAAGCCUGUGACCACAGAGACAAAUAAAAUAAUGCCCUAAACAGUUUGAUGCUGUUAAAAGCAUA